rnacentral:rRNA from 1 species
AUUGAACGCUGGCGGCAGGCCUAACACAUGCAAGUCGAACGCGUGGGGCACGGGUGUGUAAUGUCUGGGAAACUGUCUUAUGGAGGGGGAUAACUACUGGAAACGGUAGCUAAUACCGCAUAACAUCAGAUGUGCCCAGAUGGGAGUAGCUAGUAGGUGGGGUAAAGGCUCACAUAGGCGACGAUCCCUAGCUGGUCUGAGAGGAUGACCAGCCACACUGGAACGGAGACACGGUCCAGACUCCUACGGGAGGCAGCAGUGGGGAAUAUUGCACAAUGGGCGAAAGCCUGAUGCAGCCAUGCCGCGUGUAUGAAGAAGGCCUUCGGGUUGUAAAGUACUUUCAGCGGGGAGGCGUUACCCGCAGAAGAAGCACCGGCUAACUCCGUGCCAGCAGCCGCGGUAAUAC